CCUACGGGAGGCAGCAGUGAGGAAUAUUGGGCAAUGGAGGCAACUCUGACCCAGCCAUGCCGCGUGAGUGAAGAAGGUUUUCGGAUUGUAAAGCUUUUUCGGAUGUGACGAUGAUGACGGUAGCAUCUAAAGAAGCCCUGGCUAACUUCGUGCCAGCAGCCGCGGUAAUACGAAGGGGGCAAGGGUUGUUCGGAAUUACUGGGCGUAAAGGGAGUGUAGGCGGGUUAGUAAGAUAGUGGUGAAAUCCCAGAGCUUAACUUUGGAAUUGCCAUUAUAACUAUUAGACUAGAAUGACGGAGAGGUUAGUGGAAUACCCAGUGUAGAGGUGAAAUUCGUAGAUAUUGCGUAGAACACCAGUGGCGAAGGCGACUAUCUGACUGUACAUUGACGCUGAGGCUCGAAAGCAUGGGGAUCAAACAGGAUUAGAUACCCCUGUAGUC
rnacentral:rRNA from 1 species